AUACAGUCUCCUCCUUUACUGUGUUGAUUCCCUUUAUGUAUUUAAAUGUUUCUAUCAUAUCUCCCCUGUCUCGUCUUUCCUCCAAGCUAUACAUGUUAAGAUCCUUUAACCUUUCCUGGUAAGUUUUAUCCCGCAAUCCAUGAACCAGUUUAGUAGCCCUUCUCUGAACCCUCUCUAAGGUAUCAAUAUCCUUCUGAAGAUACGGUCUCCAGUACUGUGUACAAUACUCCAAGUGAGGUCUCACCAGUGUUCUGUACAAUGGCAUGAGCACUUCCCUCUUUCUACUGCUAAUACCUCUCCCUAUACAACCAAGCAUUCUGCUAGCAUUUCCUGCUGCUCUAUUACAUUGUCUGCCUACCUUAAGUCAUCAGAAAUAAUCACCCCUAAAUCCCUUUCCUCAUAUGUUGAGGUUAGGACUCUAUCAAAUAUUCUGUACUCUGCCCUUGGGUUUUUACGUCCAAGAUGCAUUAUCUUGCACUUAUCCACAUUAAAUGUCAGUUGCCACAAUUCUGACCAUUUUUCUAGUUAACCUAAAUCAUUUGUCAUUUGGCUUAUCCCUCUUGGAACAUCAACCCUGUUACAUAUCUUAGUAUCAUCAGCAAAAAGACAUACCUUACCAUCAAGACCUUCUGCAAUAUCACUAAUAAAAAUAUUAAAGAGAAUGGGUCCAAGUACAGAUCCCUGAGGUACCCCACUGGUAAGACUUUGCUUCAAAUAUACUCCAUUGACUACAACCCUCUAUUGUGUCACACAGCCACUGCUUAACUCAAUCAACAAUAUUUGAAUACAAACUCAUGUCUACUGUAUCACCUUGAUCAAUUAUUUUAGUUACCCGAUCAAAAAAACUAAGAUUAUUUUGGCGUUGUCUCUGAUCUUAAAAUCCAUGUGUUUUUAGAUGUUCAACAAUCCUAUCCUUUAACAUGGUUUCCAUCACUUUCCCCACUACUGAAGUAAGGCUUACUGGCCUAUAGUUGCCCGACUCCUCCCUAUUACCUUUUUUGUGAAUGGGCACAACAUUUGCUAACUUCCAAUCUUCUGGGACUACUCCUGUUAACAAUGAGUGGUUAAAUAAAUCUGUUAAUGGUUUUGCUAGUACACCACUAAGCUCUUUUAAUAGCUUUGGGUGUAUUCCAUCAGGUCCCAUUGACUUAUUUGUCUUUGCUUUUGACAGUUGAAAUAGAACCUCUUCCUCUGUAAACUUGCAUGUAAUAAAUGACUCAUUUGUCCCUUUCCUUCAUUUUCAUCUGUAAAUACUGAACAAAAAUAUUAAUUGAGGCAGUCAGCUAGACCUUUAUCCUCUUCUACAUACCUUCCUUCUUUUGUUUUUAAUCUAACUAAUCCUUGUUUUACUUUCAUUUUCUCAUUUAUGUAUCUAAAAAAUGUUUUAUCCCCCUUUUUUACUGACUGUGCUAUUUUCUCUUCUGUGUGUGAUUUGGAAGCUCUUAUAACUUGCUUAGCCUCUUUCUGCCUAAUCUUAUAGAUCAUUCUGAUUUUUAAUAUAAUAA